rnacentral:rRNA from 1 species
GGUUAAGCGACUAAGCGUACACGGUGGAUGCCCUGGCAGUCAGAGGCGAUGAAGGACGUGCUAAUCUGCGAAAAGCGUCGGUAAGGUGAUAUGAACCGUUAUAACCGGCGAUGUCCGAAUGGGGAAACCCAGUGUGAUUCGUCACACUAUCGUUAACUGAAUACAUAGGUUAACGAGGCGAACCGGGGGAACUGAAACAUCUAAGUACCCCGAGGAAAAGAAAUCAACCGAGAUUCCCCCAGUAGCGGCGAGCGAACGGGGAGCAGCCCAGAGUCUGAAUCAGCUUGUGUGUUAGUGGAACGGUCUGGAAAGUCCGACGGUACAGGGUGAUAGUCCCGUACACCAAAAUGCACAGGUUGUGAACUCGAAGAGUAGGGCGGGACACGUGGUAUCCUGUCUGAAUAUGGGGGGACCAUCCUCCAAGGCUAAAUACUCCUGACUGACCGAUAGUGAACCAGUACCGUGAGGGAAAGGCGAAAAGAACCCCGGCGAGGGGAGUGAAAAAGAACCUGAAACCGUGUACGUACAAGCAGUGGGAGCACCUUCGGGUGUGACUGCGUACCUUUUGUAUAAUGGGUCAGCGACUUAUAUUCUGUAGCAAGGUUAACCGUAUAGGGGAGCCGCAGGGAAACCGAGUCUUAACUGGGCGUUAAGUUGCAGGGUAUAGACCCGAAACCCGGUGAUCUAGCCAUGGGCAGGUUGAAGGUUGGGUAACACUAACUGGAGGACCGAACCGACUAAUGUUGAAAAAUUAGCGGAUGACUUGUGGCUGGGGGUGAAAGGCCAAUCAAACCGGGAGAUAGCUGGUUCUCCCCGAAAGCUAUUUAGGUAGCGCCUCGUGAACUCAUCUUCGGGGGUAGAGCACUGUUUCGGCUAGGGGGUCAUCCCGACUUACCAACCCGAUGCAAACUACGAAUACCGAAGAAUGUUAUCACGGGAGACACACGGCGGGUGCUAACGUCCGUCGUGAAGAGGGAAACAACCCAGACCGCCAGCUAAGGUCCCAAAGUCAUGGUUAAGUGGGAAACGAUGUGGGAAGGCACAGACAGCCAGGAUGUUGGCUUAGAAGCAGCCAUCAUUUAAAGAAAGCGUAAUAGCUCACUGGUCGAGUCGGCCUGCGCGGAAGAUGUAACGGGGCUAAACCAUGCACCGAAGCUGCGGCAGCGACACUAUGUGUUGUUGGGUAGGGGAGCGUUCUGUAAGCCUGCGAAGGUGACCUGUGAGGGUUGCUGGAGGUAUCAGAAGUGCGAAUGCUGACAUAAGUAACGAUAAAGCGGGUGAAAAGCCCGCUCGCCGGAAGACCAAGGGUUCCUGUCCAACGUUAAUCGGGGCAGGGUGAGUCGACCCCUAAGGCGAGGCCGAAAGGCGUAGUCGAUGGGAAACAGGUUAAUAUUCCUGUACUUGGUGUUACUGCGAAGGGGGGACGGAGAAGGCUAUGUUAGCCGGGCGACGGUUGUCCCGGUUUAAGCAUGUAGGCUGAUUAUCCAGGCAAAUCCGGAUAAUCAAGGCUGAGGUGUGAUGACGAGGCACUACGGUGCUGAAGUAACAAAUGCCCUGCUUCCAGGAAAAGCCUCUAAGCAUCAGGUAACAUCAAAUCGUACCCCAAACCGACACAGGUGGUCAGGUAGAGAAUACCAAGGCGCUUGAGAGAACUCGGGUGAAGGAACUAGGCAAAAUGGUGCCGUAACUUCGGGAGAAGGCACGCUGGUGUGUAGGUGAAGUCCCUGCGGAUGGAGCUGAGACCAGUCGAAGAUACCAGCUGGCUGCAACUGUUUAUUAAAAACACAGCACUGUGCAAACACGAAAGUGGACGUAUACGGUGUGACGCCUGCCCGGUGCCGGAAGGUUAAUUGAUGGGGUUAUCCGUAAGGAGAAGCUCUUGAUCGAAGCCCCGGUAAACGGCGGCCGUAACUAUAACGGUCCUAAGGUAGCGAAAUUCCUUGUCGGGUAAGUUCCGACCUGCACGAAUGGCGUAAUGAUGGCCAGGCUGUCUCCACCCGAGACUCAGUGAAAUUGAACUCGCUGUGAAGAUGCAGUGUACCCGCGGCAAGACGGAAAGACCCCGUGAACCUUUACUAUAGCUUGACACUGAACAUUGAGCCUUGAUGUGUAGGAUAGGUGGGAGGCUUUGAAGCGUGGACGCCAGUCUGCGUGGAGCCAACCUUGAAAUACCACCCUUUAAUGUUUGAUGUUCUAACGUUGGCCCCUUACCGGGGUUGCGGACAGUGUCUGGUGGGUAGUUUGACUGGGGCGGUCUCCUCCCAAAGCGUAACGGAGGAGCACGAAGGUUAGCUAAUCCUGGUCGGACAUCAGGAGGUUAGUGCAAUGGCAUAAGCUAGCUUGACUGCGAGCGUGACGGCGCGAGCAGGUGCGAAAGCAGGUCAUAGUGAUCCGGUGGUUCUGAAUGGAAGGGCCAUCGCUCAACGGAUAAAAGGUACUCCGGGGAUAACAGGCUGAUACCGCCCAAGAGUUCAUAUCGACGGCGGUGUUUGGCACCUCGAUGUCGGCUCAUCACAUCCUGGGGCUGAAGUAGGUCCCAAGGGUAUGGCUGUUCGCCAUUUAAAGUGGUACGCGAGCUGGGUUUAGAACGUCGUGAGACAGUUCGGUCCCUAUCUGCCGUGGGCGCUGGAGAAUUGAGGGGGGCUGCUCCUAGUACGAGAGGACCGGAGUGGACGCAUCACUGGUGUUCGGGUUGUCAUGCCAAUGGCACUGCCCGGUAGCUAAAUGCGGAAGAGAUAAGUGCUGAAAGCAUCUAAGCACGAAACUUGCCCCGAGAUGAGUUCUCCCUGAGACUUUAAGUCUCCUGAAGGAACGUUGUAAGCGUCAACGGAGCACCGUAUUGACGCUUAUUUAUUGGUGAGUACUACGUUCCAUGGCAGGAGUUCAUCAA